rnacentral:rRNA from 1 species
GACAGAGGGUGCAAACGUUGUUCGGAUUUACUGGGCGUAAAGCGCGUGUAGGCUGCUUCGCAAGUCGGAUGUGAAAGCCCUGGGCUCAACCCAGGAAGUGCAUUCGAAACUGCAGAGCUGGAGUCCUGGAGAGGAAGGCGGAAUUCUCGGUGUAGAGGUGAAAUUCGUAGAUAUCGAGAGGAACACCGGUGGCGAAGGCGGAUCUCUGGGCCUGUUCUGACGCUGAGGCGCGAAAGCUAGGGGAGCGAACAGG